AAGUCGUAACAAGGUCUCCGUUGGUGAACCAGCGGAGGGAUCAUUACAGGAAGCCGAAAGGCAACUUCAAACCAUCGCGAACGUAUCCAAGUUGCUUCGGCGGCGCGGGACCCCUCGGGGGACCGCAGCCCACGCCCUCCGGGGCGAGGGGCGCCCGCCGGAGGUCACAAACUCUCAUGUAUUACAGUGGCGUCUCUGAGUAAAAAAAAAAAUAAGUUAAAACUUUCAACAACGGAUCUCUUGGUUCUGGCAUCGAUGAAGAACGCAGCGAAAUGCGAUAAGUAAUGUGAAUUGCAGAAUUCAGUGAAUCAUCGAAUCUUUGAACGCACAUUGCGCCCGCUAGUACUCUAGCGGGCAUGCCUGUUCGAGCGUCAUUUCAACCCUCAAGCCCGGCUUGGUGUUGGGGCCCUACGGCUGCCGUAGGCCCCGAAAGGAAGUGGCGGGCUCGCUACAACUCCGAGCGUAGUAAUUCGUUUUCUCGCUAUGGACGUUGCGGCGGUGCUCCUGCCGUUAAAGACCCAUCNUUAACCAAAGGUUGACCUCGGAUCAGGUAGGAAUACCCGCUGAACUUAAGCAUAUCAAUAAGCGGAGGAAAAGAAACCAACAGGGAUUGCCCUAGUANCGGCGAGUGAAGCGGCAACAGCUCAAAUUUGAAAUCUGGCUCCGGCCCGAGUUGUAAUUUGUAGAGGAUGCUUUUGGCGAGGUGCCUUCUGAGUUCCCUGGAACGGGACGCCGGAGAGGGUGAGAGCCCCGUAUAGUCGGACGCCUAGCCUCUGUAAAGCUCCUUCGACGAGUCGAGUAGUUUGGGAAUGCUGCUCAAAAUGGGAGGUAUAUCUCUUCUAAAGCUAAAUAUAGGCCAGAGACCGAUAGCGCACAAGUAGAGUGAUCGAAAGAUGAAAAGCACUUUGAAAAGAGGGUUAAAUAGCACGUGAAAUUGUUGAAAGGGAAGCGCUUGUGACCAGACUUGUGCCGGGCUGAUCAUCCAGUGUUCUCACUGGUGCACUCGACCCGGCUCAGGCCAGCGUCGGUUACCGUAGGGGGAUAAAAGCUCCGGGAACGUGGCUCCUUCGGGAGUGUUAUAGCCCGCUGCUCAAUGCCCUUGUGGUGACCGAGGUUCGCGCUCUGCAAGGACGCUGGCAUAAUGGUCAUCAGCGACCCGUCUUGAAACACGGACC
rnacentral:rRNA from 1 species